rnacentral:rRNA from 1 species
UGGGGAAUAUUGCACAAUGGGGGAAACCCUGAUGCAGCAACGCCGCGUGAGUGAUGAAGGUUUUCGGAUCGUAAAGCUCUGUUGUAAGAGAAGAACGUGUGUGAGAGUGGAAAGUUCACACAGUGACGGUAACUUACCAGAAAGGGACGGCUAACUACGUGCCAG